CCUACGGGAGACAGCAGUGGGGAAUAUUGGGCAAUGGGCGCAAGCCUGACCCAGCAACGCCGCGUGAAGGAAGAAGGCUUUCGGGUUGUAAACUUCUUUUCUCAGGGACGAAGAAAGUGACGGUACCUGAGGAAUAAGCCACGGCUAACUACGUGCCAGCAGCCGCGGUAAUACGUAGGUGGCAAGCGUUAUCCGGAUUUAUUGGGUGUAAAGGGCGUGUAGGCGGGAGCGCAAGUCAGAUGUGAAAACUCAGGGCUCAACCCUGAGCCUGCAUUUGAAACUGUGUUUCUUGAGUGCUGGAGAGGCAAUCGGAAUUCCGUGUGUAGCGGUGAAAUGCGUAGAUAUACGGAGGAACACCAGUGGCGAAGGCAGCUUACUAAGCCAUAACUGACACUGAAGCACGAAAGCGUGGGGAUCAAACAGGAUUAGAUACCCGAGUAGUC
rnacentral:rRNA from 1 species